rnacentral:rRNA from 1 species
GACGAACGCUGGCGGCGUGCCUAAUACAUGCAAGUUGAGCGCUGAAGGUUGGUACUUGUACCAACUGGAUGAGCAGCGAACGGGUGAGUAACGCGUGGCGAAUCUGCCUUUGAGCGGGGGACAACAUUUGGAAACGAAUGCUAAUACCGCAUAAAAACUUUAAACACAAGUUUUAAGUUUGAAAGAUGCAAUUGCAUCACUCAAAGAUGAUCCCGCGUUGUAUUAGCUAGUUGGUGAGGUAAAGGCUCACCAAGGCGAUGAUACAUAGCCGACCUGAGAGGGUGAUCGGCCACACUGGGACUGAGACACGGCCCAAACUCCUACGGGAGGCAGCAGUAGGGAAUCUUCGGCAAUGGACGAAAGUCUGACCGAGCAACGCCGCGUGAGUGAAGAAGGUUUUCGGAUCGUAAAACUCUGUUGGUAGAGAAGAACGUUGGUGAGAGUGGAAAGCUCAUCAAGUGACGGUAACUACCCAGAAAGGGACGGCUAACUACGUG